UGUUUAAAGCAUUAAUUUUAAAUAAAACCUGCUCAAUGUGGUAUUAAAUUACCAUAAAUAGCCGCAGAAUAUUAACUGUGCUAAGGUAGCAUAAUCAUUUGCCUAUUAAUUGUAGACUAGAAUGAAAGGUAAAACAGUUUAUUUACUUUUUUAAUUCUAAUUAAAUAAAAAUUAUACUAAAUAUAAAAAUAUAUUUAUUAACUAAUUAGACGACAAGACCCUAUCGAACUUUACUUAAGUUGAGCUGGGGCAGCUAAUUAAUUAAAAUUUUAAUUAAAUUUGUACAAAUAAUGAUCCAGUCCAACUGAUAAUUUGAUUAAGUUACCGUAGGGAUAACAGCGUAAUUUAUUUUUAAAGUUCUUAUUUAAAAAUAAGAUUGCGACCUCGAUGUUGAAUAAUUUUCUUUUGUGAGCAAAAUCACAAACAGUAGGUCUGUUCGACCUUUAAAAUUUUACA
rnacentral:rRNA from 1 species